GGGGCUGAUUCUGGAUUCGACGGGAUUUGCGAAACCCAAGGUGCAUGCCGAGGGGCGGUUGGCCUCGUAAAAAAGCCGCAAAAAAUAGUCGCAAACGACGAAAACUACGCUUUAGCAGCUUAAUAACCUGCUUAGAGCCCUCUCUCCCUAGCCUCCGCUCUUAGGACGGGGAUCAAGAGAGGUCAAACCCAAAAGAGAUCGCGUGGAAGCCCUGCCUGGGGUUGAAGCGUUAAAACUUAAUCAGGCUAGUUUGUUAGUGGCGUGUCCGUCCGCAGCUGGCAAGCGAAUGUAAAGACUGACUAAGCAUGUAGUACCGAGGAUGUAGGAAUUUCGGACGCGGGGUUCAACUCCCGCCAGCUCCACCA
rnacentral:tmRNA from 1 species